CUAAACUACCCGACCCGAGACGACAAAAAAAGAAUCACGAUCCCCCGUCGCCGACCUGAUAAGCUCCACCAGUGUGCCGUCGGGGCCUCCCCCUCCACCAACGCGCCAUCGGGGCCUCCCCUCUCCCCCAGGCGCCGCCGUGUCCCCACCUUCUCCCUCAGCUCCGGCCGCCGCCCCCACCCUCUCCCUUGGCUCCGGCCGCAGCCCCCCACCUUCUCCCUUGGCUCUAGCCGCCGCCCCCACCCUCUCCCUCAGCUCCGGCCGCCGCCCCCACCUUCUCCCUUGGCUCCGGUCGCUGCCCCCACCCUCUCCCUCGGCUCCAGCCGCUGCCCCCACUCUCUCCCUCGGCUCCGGCCGCCUCCCCACACUCCAACCACGGAUCGAGCCGCCGCGGUUGCCCUGCACCAGAUCGCGUCGCCCAGAACCACCCGUCGCCACCACGUCCUCCCCGCGCUGCCGCUAUCUCUCCUUGCUCCGCCGCCAGCCGAGCACCUCCUCACCUCCAUUGUUGUUCAGCACUUCCUCCAGUUCCUCCGAUGGGGGCUGCGCUCAUCCACUCCUACUGCUGACCCAGCUCACUCCAAUCCCUCCACCACGCUACCUCCUCCCGUUGGUGAGCCUCCGUUGAUGUAGCACCCCAGCCGUUCACUGUGGCCACCCCGGGCCGUUCAACAAGACAGCAAGCACAUGUUUUCAGAAUCCAGCAGUAAAGGUACAUCAGUACACAUCUCUGUGCUGCUACAUCUGUACACAUCAGCAAGCAAAUUUAGUUUUCUGUGCUGCUACAUCAUCAGUCCAUAAUGUGCAUAAGAUGCAGUCCUGGUUGUGUAGACAAUGAGCUGGUGCUCUGUCUUCCACUCUUCCGUUCAUCGUCUAGGCACUGUCCGACUGCGAAGAUGGAGUCCUACUCCUACGCAAACGGGCCAAAUUUGAUUGCUUGCUGUUUGACAUGGAUGAUACCCUCUACCCACUAAGCUUAGGGAUCAACUUAGCCUGCCGCAAGAACAUCCAAGGUAAGUACAGUAGUACAGUAAUAAACUUACACCAAUCCUCUGUUUUCAUGCUACAGAAUUCGUGUGCUCAUACUACUUGUAUCUACCAAAUCGCAUACUACAUGCUGAACAAGCUUCAGGUCGAGGAGGGCCUGAUCCCCAAGAUGUGCUUGGAUUUGUACAAAGAAUAUGGAAUUAAGAUGGCUGCUUCUGUGUGUGUGUGUGUGUGUGUGUGUGUGUGUGGAUAUGUGUUAACUGGUGGCCGGUGGUGUGUGUGUGUGUGUGUGCAGGGUACUGCCGGAGAUAAGUAGUAAGUGGCAAAGUGUCUUGAGGCAGCAGCAAGACGAGGCAUAAAGCUGGCGAGCAGGUAUGAGCAGCGAGCUGCUACUAGAACUUGUCGUGCCAUCGUGUAGGGCCAGCAUCGAGGGGACGGGGACUUGUUGUAAUGCUUUACAUCAAUCUUCUGUUGGCAGUUAGACAAAGAAUAGUAGCAAGUCCAAGCUCUCUUUGAGUGGAGCUAUGUAAAAAUGUUUCAGCAGCUCGACGAAUAGCUCGAUUUCACUAGUCUCCUGUUUUGCUGUCGAUCCUGGCCUUGGCGUCCAUGAGCGCGAGCACCCCGUAUCCGGUGGCGAGAUGAAGGCCACCCGUGAUCCCUGCUUCCCGUCAUCACCUCCUCCUCGUGUGAGUUCACUGCCGAGAACAAGCACGGCCACCUACAGUUCCUGGUGGUCGCCUUGGCCACCCUCGGCCAGGAGUUCGUCCACCAUGGUUACUGGCAGCCGUCCAAGUGGAGCGCGGACAUCAGUCCAAGUAGAAUCACAGCCACCAUCUUCACCAAGCGUUGCACAGUUGUCCAAGUCGAGCACAUACAACAGUCCAAGGUCACUCGUCUGAAGGGUCCACAACAUAUGUUUCAGAAGAUCAGUACCAUCAUUGCAAACAGAUCAGUACCAUCAUUACAAAAAGGUAAGAACUAAUUGCGCGUGAAAAGAGUUGUUAUCUCUGAAAUUCAAAGAGUUCAGACAGACUGCGGGUUGAUGAAGUCCGUCAGUUUCUUUGAUUUUAUACGUAAGCAAAUCCUUGGAUCUCGGGAAGAUAUAAAGCGUAUGCACAAGAUGGAUUUGGGAUGCAUACAGAUUCUCAUUUCUUGUCCUCACCUUACUCCCUGAUGGAAUAGGACAGACAAACCUUGAGGGCAUGGACUACUACAACAAUUUGAUAGACGAGCUGAUACUACAUUGCCUCACCCAACACCUCCCCUAGCGAGUUGCCACCCAGCCCCUUCCUCCAUGGCUCACCUCCUCUCCCUCCACCCCCGAGGUCCUCCCCUGCAAGUCCACGUUGGAGUGCCGUCUUUCGCAGCAGAGCGGAUGACCAGGGACACGAGUCCCUGCUGGAGCGCUCCUUCUCAACCAGCAAUCAUGAUCUUGAGAGGCUCGCUGUCAAGACUAAAGGUCUUCCCCUGGCUCCCGCCCUUCCUCCGAUGUCAUCCACUUUGAAGACACUGACGCACCCCAUCAGGUCAUGGAGCAAGCAUGGGAAAAAAGGGACUUGCAUCCCGCUGUCGUGCAAGCCCUGCUUCCCGCUGGCGCCCAUCUCCACGUUAGUUCGAUCUGGGCUCUGCCCUGCUCGUGCAACCCAUCGUCGCCGGCAGCCGCUGUGGCCUCGUGCCUAGCGCUCUCUGUGCGCAACGCCUAGGCCAUUCACUGCCUCCACACAAGGCCGUUUGACGACGCAAUGCUCAAGCAGUUCACCCUUACCACCACAAGUCGUUAACCUCCGCCACACGGGGCCGUGCGACAAUGCAGCGAUCAGGCCAUUCACCUCUGCCACCGCCCUGCACCUCGACGUCGAGCAUGGCCCUCCCGUGAGAGAUCGGAGAGAUAAGGCGCUCCUACCACCUUCUUCCCCGUGGAUCCAGCUCCUGUUCCCCGUCGACAGCAGGAGACACGAGGUCGCCUCCGGCGCUGCUGGUGGCGUGAAGGCCGUCAAAUGGUGAUAUAUUUGGACACUUGCCUCGUCAGUACAACAGCACGCUCCACAGCCGGUCAGGAGAAGAGUUGCAUGCAGGCCACCCUCUGCUCCGUCCUCGAUCCGGCGCAGUCAUCUCCCUCUCAUCCUCUCUCUGCUCCGUGUGUGUGUGUGCAGGGAGUGGAAGGAGAUAGUGCAGGGGAGUGGGAGGUCCUUCCAUGGUGAAUUCAUAGGCAUCUUCCAUGGAGAUUGUGAACUCUCUCGAUUAUUGCUUGAGGAUUUAUGUUGGUCUGUCCACUAUAGUUCCUGUAUAGUGGCGUCCUCUUUUUCUAGUGUUUCUCUUUUGAUGUUGUUGCAGGUGUUUAAUAACCCACUGAUAUGAUUUCUGGAAACAAGCUUCAGUAUAGAGAAGCUUCGGUACGAGAAAAAAUGGGUCAUCACUUCAUCCAUAUGCAACCUCCUGCGUGGUCGUACAUUUUUAUUUGGAUCUACUCGCUGUGUGGUCAUCCAUAUGUGUAUUGUGUUGUCAGGUCGUGUGCAAGUUUGUUACAAGUUCAUUUAUAUGUUGGUAACCACUGUUAUUGCUGCUAGCUAUCGAUCUGACUGUUGUAUUACUGUAGCCCCUUCGCUGGCUUAAUCUCCUACUAUUUGCUA